GACGAACGCUGGCGGCGUGCUUAACACAUGCAAGUCGAACGGAAAGGCCCUGCUUUUGUGGGGUGCUCGAGUGGCGAACGGGUGAGUAACACGUGAGUAACCUGCCCUUGACCUUGGGAUAACUUCAGGAAACUGGGGCUAAUACCGGAUAGGAGCUCCUGCCGCCUGGUGGGGGUUGGAAAGUUUCGGCGGUUGGGGAUGGACUCGCGGCUUAUCAGCUUGUUGGUGGGGUAGUGUCUUACCAAGGCUUUGACGGGUAGCCGGCCUGGGAGGGUGACCGGCCACAUUGGGACGGAGAUACGGCCCAGACUCCAACGGGAGGCAGCAGUGGGGAAUGUUGCACAGUGGGCGGAAGCCAGAUGCAGCAACGCCGCGUGCGGGAUGAGGGCCUUCGGGUUGUAUUCCGCUUUCGCCUGUGACGAAGCGUGAGUGACGGUAAUGGGUAAAGAAGCACCGGCUAACUACGUG
rnacentral:rRNA from 1 species